rnacentral:rRNA from 2 species
UUAAGCGACUAAGCGUACACGGUGGAUGCCCUGGCAGUCAGAGGCGAUGAAGGACGUGCUAAUCUGCGAUAAGCGUCGGUGAGGUGAUAUGAACCGUUAUAACCGGCGAUUUCCGAAUGGGGAAACCCAGUGUGUUUCGACACACUAUCAUUAACUGAAUCCAUAGGUUAAUGAGGCGAACCGGGGGAACUGAAACAUCUAAGUACCCCGAGGAAAAGAAAUCAACCGAGAUUCCCCCAGUAGCGGCGAGCGAACGGGGAGGAGCCCAGAGCCUGAAUCAGUGUGUGUGUUAGUGGAAGCGUCUGGAAAGGCGUGCGAUACAGGGUGACAGCCCCGUACACAAAAAUGCACAUAUUGUGAGCUCGAUGAGUAGGGCGGGACACGUGGUAUCCUGUCUGAAUAUGGGGGGACCAUCCUCCAAGGCUAAAUACUCCUGACUGACCGAUAGUGAACCAGUACCGUGAGGGAAAGGCGAAAAGAACCCCGGCGAGGGGAGUGAAAAAGAACCUGAAACCGUGUACGUACAAGCAGUGGGAGCCUCUUAAUGGGGUGACUGCGUACCUUUUGUAUAAUGGGUCAGCGACUUAUAUUCUGUAGCAAGGUUAACCGAAUAGGGGAGCCGAAGGGAAACCGAGUCUUAACUGGGCGUUAAGUUGCAGGGUAUAGACCCGAAACCCGGUGAUCUAGCCAUGGGCAGGUUGAAGGUUGGGUAACACUAACUGGAGGACCGAACCGACUAAUGUUGAAAAAUUAGCGGAUGACUUGUGGCUGGGGGUGAAAGGCCAAUCAAACCGGGAGAUAGCUGGUUCUCCCCGAAAGCUAUUUAGGUAGCGCCUCGUGAAUUCAUCUCCGGGGGUAGAGCACUGUUUCGGCAAGGGGGUCAUCCCGACCUACCAACCCGAUGCAAACUGCGAAUACCGGAGAAUGUUAUCACGGGAGACACACGGCGGGUGCUAACGUCCGUCGUGAAGAGGGAAACAACCCAGACCGCCAGCUAAGGUCCCAAAGUCAUGGUUAAGUGGGAAACGAUGUGGGAAGGCCCAGACAGCCAGGAUGUUGGCUUAGAAGCAGCCAUCAUUUAAAGAAAGCGUAAUAGCUCACUGGUCGAGUCGGCCUGCGCGGAAGAUGUAACGGGGCUAAACCAUGCACCGAAGCUGCGGCAGCGACACUAUGUGUUGUUGGGUAGGGGAGCGUUCUGUAAGCCUGUGAAGGUGGCCUGUGAGGGUUGCUGGAGGUAUCAGAAGUGCGAAUGCUGACAUAAGUAACGAUAAAGCGGGUGAAAAGCCCGCUCGCCGGAAGACCAAGGGUUCCUGUCCAACGUUAAUCGGGGCAGGGUGAGUCGACCCCUAAGGCGAGGCCGAAAGGCGUAGUCGAUGGGAAACAGGUUAAUAUUCCUGUACUUGGUGUUACUGCGAAGGGGGGACGGAGAAGGCUAUGUUGGCCGGGCGACGGUUGUCCCGGUUUAAGCGUGUAGGCUGGUUUUCCAGGCAAAUCCGGAAAACCAAGGCUGAGGCGUGAUGACGAGGCACUACGGUGCUGAAGCGACAAAUGCCCUGCUUCCAGGAAAAGCCUCUAAGCAUCAGGUAACAUCAAAUCGUACCCCAAACCGACACAGGUGGUCAGGUAGAGAAUACCAAGGCGCUUGAGAGAACUCGGGUGAAGGAACUAGGCAAAAUGGUGCCGUAACUUCGGGAGAAGGCACGCUGAUAUGUAGGUGAAGCGACUUGCUCGUGGAGCUGAAAUCAGUCGAAGAUACCAGCUGGCUGCAACUGUUUAUUAAAAACACAGCACUGUGCAAACACGAAAGUGGACGUAUACGGUGUGACGCCUGCCCGGUGCCGGAAGGUUAAUUGAUGGGGUUAGCGGCAACGCGAAGCUCUUGAUCGAAGCCCCGGUAAACGGCGGCCGUAACUAUAACGGUCCUAAGGUAGCGAAAUUCCUUGUCGGGUAAGUUCCGACCUGCACGAAUGGCGUAAUGAUGGCCAGGCUGUCUCCACCCGAGACUCAGUGAAAUUGAACUCGCUGUGAAGAUGCAGUGUACCCGCGGCAAGACGGAAAGACCCCGUGAACCUUUACUAUAGCUUGACACUGAACAUUGAGCCUUGAUGUGUAGGAUAGGUGGGAGGCUUUGAAGUGUGGACGCCAGUCUGCAUGGAGCCGACCUUGAAAUACCACCCUUUAAUGUUUGAUGUUCUAACGUUGGCCCGUAAUCCGGGUUGCGGACAGUGUCUGGUGGGUAGUUUGACUGGGGCGGUCUCCUCCUAAAGAGUAACGGAGGAGCACGAAGGUUGGCUAAUCCUGGUCGGACAUCAGGAGGUUAGUGCAAUGGCAUAAGCCAGCUUGACUGCGAGCGUGACGGCGCGAGCAGGUGCGAAAGCAGGUCAUAGUGAUCCGGUGGUUCUGAAUGGAAGGGCCAUCGCUCAACGGAUAAAAGGUACUCCGGGGAUAACAGGCUGAUACCGCCCAAGAGUUCAUAUCGACGGCGGUGUUUGGCACCUCGAUGUCGGCUCAUCACAUCCUGGGGCUGAAGUAGGUCCCAAGGGUAUGGCUGUUCGCCAUUUAAAGUGGUACGCGAGCUGGGUUUAGAACGUCGUGAGACAGUUCGGUCCCUAUCUGCCGUGGGCGCUGGAGAACUGAGGGGGGCUGCUCCUAGUACGAGAGGACCGGAGUGGACGCAUCACUGGUGUUCGGGUUGUCAUGCCAAUGGCACUGCCCGGUAGCUAAAUGCGGAAGAGAUAAGUGCUGAAAGCAUCUAAGCACGAAACUUGCCCCGAGAUGAGUUCUCCCUGACUCCUUGAGAGUCCUGAAGGAACGUUGAAGACGACGACGUUGAUAGGCCGGGUGUGUAAGCGCAGCGAUGCGUUGAGCUAACCGGUACUAAUGAACCGUGAGGCUUAACCUU